UCCGACUUAACGUCGGCAGUCUCGCCAGAGUGCUCAGCUUUCCUGUUAGCAACUGACGACAGAGGUUGCGCUCGUUGCGGGACUUAACCCAACAUCUCACGACACGAGCUGACGACAGCCAUGCAGCACCUGUCUUGGGACUCCGAAGAGGAACCGUGGUUUCUCACGGCUUUCCCCAAGAUGUCAAGCCCAGGUAAGGUUCUUCGCGUCGCAUCGAAUUAAGCCGCAUGCUCCGCCGCUUGUGCGGGGCCCCGUCAAUUCCUUUGAGUUUUAAUCUUGCGACCGUACUCCCCAGGCGGGAGGCUUAAUGCGUUAGCUGCGCCACUGAUGAGCAAUCUCACCAACGGCUAGCCUCCAUCGUUUACGGCGUGGACUAC
rnacentral:misc_RNA from 1 species